rnacentral:rRNA from 1 species
CCUGCCCUGAGGAGGGGGACAGCAGUUGGAAACGGCUGGUGAUACCCCGUAUGCCGGGAGGUGAAAGGGCCUUUAUGGUCUGCCUUUGGAUGGACUCACGUCCUAUCAGCUAGUUGGUGAGGUAACGGCUCACCAAGGCGACGACGGGUAGCCGGCCUGAGAGGGUGUCCGGCCACACUGGAACUGAGACACGGUCCAGACUCCUACGGGAGGCAGCAGUAGGGAAUCUUCGGCAAUGGACGAAAGUCUGACCGAGCAACGCCGCGUGAGUGAAGAAGGUUUUCGGAUCGUAAAACUCUGUUGUUAGAGAAGAAUAAGGAUGAGAGUAAAAAGUUCAUCCCUUGACGGUAUCUAACCAGAAAGCCACGGCUAACUACGUGCCAGCAGCCGCGGUAAUACGUAGGUGGCAAGCGUUGUCCGGAUUUAUUGGGCGUAAAGCGAGCGCAGGCGGUUUCUUAAGUCUGAUGUGAAAGCCCCCGGCUUAACCGGGGAGGGUCAUUGGAAACUGAGGAACUUGAGUGCAGAAGAGGAGAGUGGAAUUCCAUGUGUAGCGGUGAAAUGCGUAGAUAUAUGGAGGAACACCAGUGGCGAAGGCGACUCUCUGGUCUGUAACUGACGCUGAGGCUCGAAAGCGUGGGGAGCAAACAGGAUUAAAUACCCUGGUAGUCCACGCCGUAAACGAUGAGUGCUA